CGGACGUAUGCAAAUUCUUUCGGCAUUUUUUGUCUAAAGUUUGCGAUAUUUUUCUCAACUAACUAUUGCACUGUAAUAGUCGAAACAAAUUCAAAAAUACCAAGGAUGAAUAAAUACGACUCCGUAAAGUAUCCGCGAGUAUUUGGCGCGGAACUCGCAAGAGGCGCUGCUACGCGCAAAUUAGUUGGUCACGCUGCUGCCGGCUAUAGGCGGCGUUAGCCUCCAAGGGUCGUUUCGUGCACGUUGGCUAUAACCGUCGUUUGGAGCGAAAGGGUUAAUACCGCGAUUCCUAUCAUAUCGCGCGAUAUAAUAUAAUGUAACAUAAUAAUAAAGGAAUCGAUCAAACUAAAAGUGUUUGGUUAUUGCUGACAUAUUGCUGCAACAGGCAAGAGGCAUGGUACAUCUUCCGAUGAUAUUACGCUCUGAGAAUGAAGGAACGUGGUGGAUCUGUUGUUUCGCGAAGAAAUCGCAUCGUUCGAAUAUAGUCGAAUAUAAACUGUGUAUUUAAACAGAAAUUUAUUUUUCGAGCGUGACGUUGAAUAAUUUUGCACAGUUCGCGAAAAGAUAAAGCAGCCCAUAUUUAUAUAUGUUGACAUUUAAAUCGGAAUAAUUGGAAAAGACGAAUAAAAGAGACACACUUCGGAGAGAACGAUACACGAGGAAUCAGAAUCUUCGAUCGAUAAAAUACACUGGCGAAGGGAAACGUUUGCGACUACUUUUAACUUUCUAUUUCUGCCAAAUUUAAUCUGCUAAUGGUUUCUUUAAUCAGCUGGACGAGAAAACGAUCGAGUGUCGACGAAAAUCAAAAUAAGAACGUUAAAACGAUAGAAACAAACUAAAGAAACUAAAUAGAAAGAAUGAUGCUAAAUGGUGAAAUUUUUGACAUAGUCUAUCGAAACACCAAGACCGUGUAUAAUUGCCAGAUAC
rnacentral:lncRNA from 1 species